AUACGUAGGGGGCAAGCGUUAUCCGGAUUUACUGGGUGUAAAGGGCGUGUAGGUGGUCUGGCAAGUCAGAUGUGAAAGCCCGCGGCUCAACUGCGGGACUGCAUUUGAAACUGUCAGACUGGAGUGCAGGAGCGGGAAGUGGAAUUCCUAGUGUAGCGGUGAAAUGCGUAAAUAUAGGGAAGAACACCAUUGGCGAAGGCGGUUUCAUGGACUGAAACGGACACUGAGGCUCGAAAACGUGGGGAGCAAACAGGAUUGGAUCCCCUGGGAGUCCACGCCGUAAACGAUGAAUACUAGGUGUCGGGUGGCAAAGCCAUUCGGUGCCGCAGCUAACGCAAUAAGUAUUCCACCUGGGGAGUACGUUCGCAAGAAUGAAACUCAAAUGAAUUGGCGGGG
rnacentral:rRNA from 1 species